GUGACUUAAUUAGCACGUUAGUCAAUUUGAUUUAACGUCUGUGCUGAGCCAUGGAUAUACCUAACACCUGGACUGUUGGGUGCCUUGAGAACAGCGCUUCAGAACUUCUAGUUUAGGGAUUGUGCGGAUAGAAUGCAGCACAAUAUCUCAGUUUUAUAUAUACAUCCACUGCUAUAUGUGCUCCAGUCCAACCUUCUCCCUGACACUGAGAGUGGCUUCACUGGGCUGCAAACCAGGGAAUCAGUCCCACCAGUUCCCAGCUGCCUCCAUAAGUGCUGUACAGAUAUAGUGGCAGUUGACAGUCCCGUCGGUAGUGAGAAGAAAUGACGGAGAUUUCGCCUACACACGUACAGAUGAAAGGAAAAGACCUAGAAAUGAACAAAGCAACAGACUAGCGUAAGGUGUCCAAGAAGACAGGCGUGUGGCUGACACUCACCGCUUGCAGCAGCACAGCAGAGACAGCUCAUCCACCUCUCUGUAACGUGUCGGCAAGUCCUUACACUCCGACACAAAGGUGCGCAGCUCGGUCUCCGGGAAACCGUCUCUCUGGUAUCGGUUAUCAGCGCGAUGAACAGACUGAGCACCAUGUAGAUAAACAGACUGAUGAAGGAGUAGAGGUAGACGCGGCUGAACAGCCA